rnacentral:rRNA from 1 species
UGAGUAGCACGUAUCCAACCUGCCGUCUACUCUUGGACAGCCUUCCGAAAGGAAGAUUAAUACAAGAUGGCAUCAUGAGUCCGCAUGUUCACAUGAUUAAAGGUAUUCCGGUAGACGAUGGGGAUGCGUUCCAUUAGAUAGUAGGCGGGGUAACGGCCCACCUAGUCUUCGAUGGAUAGGGGUUCUGAGAGGAAGGUCCCCCACAUUGGAACUGAGACACGGUCCAA